rnacentral:sRNA from 1 species
AAAGUAUGCUAUCAAAUGUUCCAUUUUAUUUUAUUUUU